CACGUAGGGACCAAGCGUUGUCCGGAAUUACUGGGCGUAAAGAGCUCGUAGGUGGUUUGUCGCGUUGUCCGUGAAAACUCACAACUCAAUUGUGGGCGUGCGGGCGAUACGGGCAGACUGGAGUACUGCAGGGGAGACUGGAAUUCCUGGUGUAGCGGUGGAAUGCGCAGAUAUCAGGAGGAACACCGGUGGCGAAGGCGGGUCUCUGGGCAGUAACUGACGCUGAGGAGCGAAAGCGUGGGGAGCGAACAGG
rnacentral:rRNA from 1 species